AACGGUCUAUACCUGCGGUACCUGCGGAAGGAUCAUUACCGAGUUAUCAACUCCCAAACCCCUGUGAACAUACCCGAACGUUGCCUCGGCGGGACCGCCCCGGCGCCCCUAGCGGCCCGGAACCAGGCGCCCGCCGGAGGACCCAAACUCUUGCUUUAAACAGUGGCAUACUCUCUGAGUCUCACAGACAAAAAAUAAAUCAAAACUUUCAACAAUGGAUCUCUAGAUCGGAAGAGCACA
rnacentral:misc_RNA from 1 species